rnacentral:rRNA from 1 species
AGCUAGUUGGUGAGGUAACGGCUCACCAAGGCAACGAUGCGUAGCCGACCUGAGAGGGUGAUCGGCCCCACUGGGAUUGAGACACGGCCCAGACUCCUACGGGAGGCAGCAGUAGGGAAUCUUCCGCAAUGGACGAAAGUCUGACGGAGCAACGCCGCGUGAGUGAUGAAGGCUUUCGGGUCGUAAAACUCUGUUGUUAGGGAAGAACAAGUGCUAGUUGAAUAAGCUGGCACCUUGACGGUACCUAACCAGAAAGCCACGGCUAACUACGUGCCAGCAGCCGCGGUAAUACGUAGGUGGCAAGCGUUAUCCGGAAUUAUUGGGCGUAAAGCGCGCGCAGGUGGUUUCUUAAGUCUGAUGUGAAAGCCCACGGCUCAACCGUGGAGGGUCAUUGGAAACUGGGAGACUUGAGUGCAGAAGAGGAAAGUGGAAUUCCAUGUGUAGCGGUGAAAUGCGUAGAGAUAUGGAGGAACACCAGUGGCGAAGGCGACUUUCUGGUCUGUAACUGACACUGAGGCGCGAAAGCGUGGGGAGCAAACAGGAUUAGAUACCCUGGUAGUCCACGCCGUAAACGAUGAGUGCUAAGUGUUAGAGGGUUUCCGCCCUUUAGUGCUGAAGUUAACGCAUU